UACGUAGGGUGCAAGCGUUGUCCGGAAUCAUUGGGCGUAAAGAGCGCGUAGGCGGCCCGAUAAGUCCGCUGUGAAAGUCAAGGGCUUAACCCUUGAAUGCCGGUGGAAACUGUCGGGCUAGAGUCCGGAAGAGGCGAGUGGAAUUCCUGGUGUAGCGGUGAAAUGCGCAGAUAUCAGGAGGAACACCAAUUGCGAAGGCAGCUCGCUGGGACGUUACUGACGCUGAGACGCGAAAGCGUGGGGAGCAAACAGG
rnacentral:rRNA from 1 species